GCCGAGGUGGCGAAACUGGUAACCGCAACGCACUUAAGAUGCGUCAUCCGCAAGGAUUUGAGGGUUCAAAUCCCUCCCUCGGCA
rnacentral:tRNA from 1 species